rnacentral:rRNA from 1 species
GAUGAACGCUGGCGGCGUGCCUAAUACAUGCAAGUCGAGCGAACAGAUGAGAAGCUUGCUUCUCUGAUGUUAGCGGCGGACGGGUGAGUAACACGUGGGUAACCUACCUAUAAGACUGGGAUAACUCCGGGAAACCGGGGCUAAUACCGGAUAAUAUUUUGAACCGCAUGAUUCAAUAGUGAAAGACGGUUUCGGCUGUCACUUAUAGAUGGACCCGCGCAGUAUUAGCUAGUUGGUAAGGUAACGGCUUACCAAGGCGACGAUACGUAGCCAACCUGAGAGGGUGAUCGGCCACACUGGAACUGAGACACGGUCCAGACUCCUACGGGAGGCAGCAGUAAGGAAUCGUCCGCAAUGGGCGAAAGCCUGACGAAGCAACGUCGCGUGGUUGAUGAAGGUCUUCGGAUCGUAAAACUCUGUUGUUAGGGAAGAACAAAUUUGUAAGUAACUGAACAAGUCUUGACGGUACCUAACCAGAAAGCCACGGCUAACUACGUGCCAGCCGCCGCCGUAA